CACACGACUCUCGGCAACGGAUAUCUCGGCUCUCGCAUCGAUGAAGAACGUAGCGAAAUGCGAUACCUGGUGUGAAUUGCAGAAUCCCGCGAACCAUCGAGUCUUUGAACGCAAGUUGGCGCCCGAGGCCAUUCGGCCGAGGGCACGCCUGCCUGGGCGUCACGC
rnacentral:rRNA from 1 species